GCCAGUUUAGCUCAGUUGGUAGAGCAGCUGAUUUGUAAUCAGCAGGUCGUCGGUUCGAGUCCGACAACUGGCU
rnacentral:tRNA from 1 species